rnacentral:rRNA from 1 species
AAGUCGUAACAAGGUUUCCGUAGGUGAACCUGCGGAAGGAUCAUUAUCAUUACGUAGGGGCCUGAGCUCCGGUGUGGGCCCUCCGUGUAAACCCAUCCGUGUACCUUUCCUGUUGCCUCCGUGGGUGCCGUCGGUGCCCGCGGGGGGUUAUAGAGAAAACUAUUUUUUUGCUUCUUCAUGCCAUCAUGUCUGAAAGUAACCAAAGAAAAGAUUAAAACUUUCAACAACGGAUCUCUUGGUUCUCGCAUCGAUGAAGAACGCAGCGAAAUGCGAUAAGUAGUGUGAAUUGCAGAAUUCCGUGAAUCAUCGAAUCUUUGAACGCACAUUGCGCCCCCUGGCAUUCCGGGGGGCAUGCCUGUUCGAGCGUCAUUAAAAAGGCAUCAAGCACCUUUGGCUUGGUCAUGAGGGAUGAGCGUCUGACGCGGUCACCCUCGAAAUCGAUCUGCGGAUUUCCCGGAGAGCGGCUUGCAGCGAUCAUAACUGAAUGCCUUCGCAGCGGCACGUUCUCCGAGCCGCCGUAAACCCCCAACAUUUAGUGGUUGACCUCGGAUCAGGUAGGGAUACCCGCUGAACUUA